rnacentral:lncRNA from 1 species
GAGUCGCCCCGCCCCCGCCUCGCCUCUGCGCCUGCGCGCCGCGCUACUUCGCUCGGCUGCGCUCCCCGCGCGGGCUGGACCCGGAAAACUCACCUGCCCGGCGUUCCUGGCACCCGGACCAAUGGGGUUCUUUCUUCGGAAGAAACCAGCUACCUUGCGUCCUUCCGCAGCCUCUGUCUGUCCAGCCGCGCGCACUAGUGAAGUGAAAGUCGCUCAGUCGUGUCCGACUUUUUGCGACCCCAUGGACGGUAUAGUCAGUCCAUGGAAUUCUCCAGGCUAGAAUACUGAAGUGGGUAGCCUUUCCCUUCUCCAGGGGAUCUUCCCAACCCAGGGAUCGAACCCAGGUCUCCCGAAUUGCAGGCACAUUCUUUACCAGCUGAACCACAAGGCGGGCAGGAAACCCAGACUGUCACUGUCCUGUCACUGGGCCUCCCUAAUGCUGGCCCAUCCCCACCGCGUGCCUCUGCCUGGGAAGACAGGGCGAGUCGCCAGGGGCACCCACCCUCCAGAGCCUGCAGCUCUCCCCUUCUGCCACUGGUUCUCAAAGGUUACUACCCGUUGAAAUCACCCGGGGAGCUUUUUAAAAUAACUCUGACCAACUAAAAUCAGAGCCCCGGAUGUGGGACUCUCCAGCAUCAGCGUUUUGCCUAGCUCCCCAGGUGAUCCAGUGUUCAGCCUGGGCUUCUAACCGCGGACAAGACGCGGGCUCCCCAGACUUUCAUAAGCAUCAAAAUCACCUGGAAUCUUGUUCAAGUGCAGAUUCCCUCAUAGUAGGUCUGGGGAGGGGCCUGAGAGACUGCAGUUCUAUCAGGCUCCCAGGCAGUGCUGAAGCCGCUGGUCGGGGAUGGGAGGCUACAUCUGGAGAGCCCAUGGACUCUGACAGCAAGGGACCUGCAGCUGAGUCUUGGAGCUCUGGUCAUCUGGCUGCCUGUUCUGGACUCCUGCAGCCUCUCUGAACACGGCUGGCCUUGUGUUCCCACACUGUUGUAUAUUCAUUGUUUCAUGUCCUUCUCCUUCUCUGACAGUCAGCUUUGUGAAGGUAAAGGCUGUGUCUUAGUCCAUCUUGAGUUCCCAUCACCCAUCAAAAUGCCAGACACCUAAUGGGUGCUGACUAAAUGCUCACUAGCAACACAAGAAUAACCGAGCUGUAGGACUUGAGGCAAGUACUCACUUCUCUGUUUCUUGGGCCUCUGCUCUUUUAUGUAUAAAGUAGGGUUCCAACUAAAUUUGAUCUCUCAGGCUCCCCCUGGCUCUUAACAGUGGGUGAGUUAGCGUUGCUCUUCAUCUGGUUGUCAUCCACAUUAUUUUUUCUUCCCAGGUACACAUUCCUACACUUGGCCUUGGUUUUUUAUUUAAUCCUUCCUCAGGGAUCAAAGAUGGGCUUUAUAAAUGCCCUGCCAGUUAAGGCCUGAAAUUCCGUUCUUUUCUCACCAACUUCUUGCUUAGACCAUCUGUCUGGGUUUUGUAAGAGGCAGGUUUGGCUGAUCAUUUUAGGCUAAUGGAGCUAGUUCUGUCUUUUGUGUUCACCUUGCCAGCUUCUGCAACAAUCCUUGGGCAUAUCCCCUCUGGCCUCAAUGGAGCCAACACCCCCUGUCUCCUUUCAUUUGCCUGGGGUACCCUUUGGCAGAGAGAAUGUGCAGACUGCCCAGACCAAGGGAGGUGCCACCCCCUCCUCCUGGUGUGUGAUGCGGGCACUGGACCCAGCUGGUCACACAGUCCCCGAAAAUGUCAUUAUCCACUGGAAGAGAUGUGUGACAGUCCCCAUCUCCUCUAAAAUACCUCUCACAUUUACCUGUUAGAGCUGAAAGAGUUCAAAUAGAAUGUAGUUUCUAUUUUUUUUGUUGGGGGGAGGGGGGGAGUGUCUUUUAUCUUUCAGGAAAGCUGCCACAGUUGAAUUUUCUGUAAUAUUGGCCUAAUGCUUGGAUACCUGCCAUGAACAAGUCACCAGGUAUGGUGCUGUCUACAAAGAUGGCCAUGUACUGGCUGCCCCUAUUUGAACAUGUGCUGUUCCUCUUAUCAAAAGGUGGGGUCUGGGGACUUCCCUGGUGGUCCAGUGGAUAAUAAUCUGCCUCCCAGUAGGACACCGGUUCGAUCCCAGGUCGGGGAACUAAGAUUCCACAUGCCUCAGGGCAACUAAGCCCUCGCACUGUAACUAUUGAGUCUGAGCACCUCAGCUAGAAGGAAACUCGUGCAUCUCAACAAAGAUCCCAUGUGUUGCAACUAAGACCCGACACAGCCCCAAAUAAAUAAAUAUAUAUAUGUGUGUAUAUUUUACAGAAGGUGGGGUCUGUUCCCCUCCCUGCCUUUUUUAAAAAUUUGUUUAAGUUUUAAUUUUGAAAUAAAUUCAGAUGUACAAGAGAAGCAAAUACAGUACAAGGAAUUUCCGUAUAUCCUAUAUCCAGUUUCUUCCAAGUUUAACGUGUUAUACAACUUCAUUAUGGACACUUGAAAAUUAAAUUAAUACAAUACUAAUGUUUCCCUCCCCUUGUAUCAGGGGCCUUAAGACUGGCUUGGACCAAUAGAGGGAGACAGACAGGGUGCACUGUUCCAGUUCUGGGCUGAGGUCCUUUGCUCUCUUGCCAUCCUGAGCCACAAUGUAAAGUCCAGGCUGUCCUGAGCAGAAAGCCAGCAACUGACCUCAAAUCCCCACGUGUGUGAGAGAGGCCCUUGUCCCACCAGUCUGGCCAAUACCACAUGGAAUAGUCCCAAAACAGCACUGCUGAGCUGAGAAAAUGCUUUUGUGGGUUAAGCCACUAAGUUUUAGGUGCAUUUGUUACACAGCAAUAACUAGCUGAAGCAUCAUACUCUCUAGGUCCUAAUUUUUGCAUUUGAAGAAUGAUGGGUCUACCUUGCAUCUUUGAGGCCAAGCUGAUGCUGCUGUAGCUGGGGUCAGAACCCCUCACCAUAAAUAAGUCGUCUGAUAUCUGGGCCUCAUUCAAGGGCUUGAAGUCACGAAAAAUACCCCUGAAUCCUAGAAACUACAGCACUAAUGCAACUGAAAUUCAUCAAAGGAGGCAAAUGAACAUAUCACCUCAAAGCAGUGAUUUUGGAGUAGGAAUCCCUGGCUUUGAAUUCCAGUUCUGCCACUUCCUGGCCAUCUGAUCUUGGAUGAACUUCUUUCUCCAAGUCUC